GACGUAGGGUGCGAGCGUUGUCCGGAUUUAUUGGGCGUAAAGAGCUCGUAGGCGGCUCGUCGCGUCAUCCGUGAAAACCCGCAGCUUAACUGCGGGCUUGCGGUUGAUACGGGGCGGGCUAGAGUUCGGUAGGGGGAGACUGGAAUUCCUGGUGUAGCGGUGAAAUGCGCAGAUAUCAGGAAGAACACCCGUGGCGAAGGCGGCUC
rnacentral:rRNA from 1 species